GCACAUCACGUUGAAAGAUCGGUUCCAGUGCGAUCACAGAAGUUAAGCAACGUCGAGUCUGGUUAGUACCUAGAUGGGUGACCGCUUGGGAAUGCCAGAUGCUGUAAG